rnacentral:rRNA from 1 species
GACGAACGCUGGCGGCGUGCUUAACACAUGCAAGUCGAACGGAAAGGCCCUGCUUUUGUGGGGUGCUCGAGUGGCGAACGGGUGAGUAACACGUGAGUAACCUGCCCUUGACUUUGGGAUAACUUCAGGAAACUGGGGCUCAUACCGGAUAGGAGCUCCUGCUGCAUGGUGGGGGUUGGAAAGUUUCGGCGGUUGGGGAUGGACUCGCGGCUUAUCAGCUUGUUGGUGGGGUAGUGGCUUACCAAGGCUUUGACGGGUAGCCGGCCUGAGAGGGUGACCGGCCACAUUGGGACUGAGAUACGGCCCAGACUCCUACGGGAGGCAGCAGUGUGGAAUAUUGCACAAUGGGCGGAAGCCUGAUGCAGCAACGCCGCGUGCGGGAUGACAGCCUUCGGGUUGUAAACCGCUUUCGCCUGUGACGAAGCGUGAGUGACGGUAAUGGGUAAAGAAGCACCGGCUAACUACGUG